rnacentral:rRNA from 1 species
UACGGGGGGGGCAAGCGUUGUUCGGAAUUACUGGGCGUAAAGGGUGCGUAGGCGGUUCGUUAAGUCUGUUGUGAAAUCCCCGGGCUCAACCUGGGAAUGGCAAUGGAUACUGGCGAGCUAGAGUGUGAUAGAGGAUGGUGGAAUUCCCGGUGUAGCGGUGAAAUGCGUAGAGAUCGGGAGGAACAUCAGUGGCGAAGGCGGCCAUCUGGAUCAACACUGACGCUGAAGCACGAAAGCGUGGGGAGCAAACAGG